AUACGGAGGAUGCAAGCGUUAUCCGGAUUCAUUGGGUUUAAAGGGUGCGUAGGCGGCUUUUUAAGUCAGUGGUGAAAUCCUGCCGCUUAACGGUAGAAUUGCCAUUGAUACUGUCGGGCUUGAGUGCAGUUGAGGCAGGCGGAAUGUGUAGUGUAGCGGUGAAAUGCAUAGAUAUUACACAGAACUCCGAUUGCGAAGGCAGCUUGCUAAAGUGCAACUGACGCUGAUGUACGAAAGCGUGGGUAGC
rnacentral:rRNA from 1 species